CCCUGGUAGCUCUGCUGAUAAAGAAUCUGCCUGCAAUGCAGGAGGCCCUGGUUCAAUUCCUGGAUCAGGAA
rnacentral:tRNA from 1 species